CAGACAUCCCAAGAAUAUUGUUGAACUGAAACAGUUCUGUAAAGAGGAAUGGUCAAGAAUUACUCCUGACCAGGGGCGGACUGACCACUCGGGCAUAUCGGUCAUGGACCGAGGGCCCGAGGCAGUCAGGGGCCCAGCAGCACAGCCAUGCUCCAGCUGGAGAGAUCAAAGAUCUCUCCAACUGGAACGGCAAAAUAAUAAAAUAAAACUAUUUAAUUGAUAGGUUGUGGGGCCCCUGAUGCAGCACGGGGCCCCACAACC